rnacentral:rRNA from 1 species
UGAUCCUACGGGACGCAGCAGUGAGGAAUAUUGGUCAAUGGGCGGGAGCCUGAACCAGCCAAGUCGCGUAAGGGAAGACGGUCCUAUGGAUUGUAAACCUCUUUAGGCGGGGAGCAAGGCCGCCGACGUGUCGGCGGAAGGAGAGUACCCGUAGAACAAGCAUCGGCUAACUCCGUGCCAGCAGCCGCGGUAAUACGGAGGAUGCGAGCGUUAUCCGGAUUUAUUGGGUUUAAAGGGUGCGCAGGCGGCACGGCACGCCGGCGGUCAAAUCGCGGGGCUCAACCCCGCCCAGCCGUCGGAACUGC